rnacentral:lncRNA from 1 species
UAAUGAAAGCCAGGAAAGAACACAUUACACAGUGUUUCUUCUGAGAACUAGCUAGCCUCCAGUGAUUGAAAUCAAUAAAAACAGUCGGCAUGGGGCCCAGUGGGGGAAGAGAGAAAUCUCUACUACAGCAUUCAGUUUGCUUUCCACUUUCUCCGUCUUCCUAAAGUUAAACUUUGAACACCGAGACAAACUACAUUUUCAGCACUCAGACGAUUUUGAGAGGGAUGGUGGGAAGAUAAUGUUUUAAUUUUCCUUCUGCUUUCUAUGCUCCUUCUGCUCUCUUACGGAGUUCAGAAAAUGAAAGAGUUGUUUUUAAUUUGAAUCCUGCCUGGAAAAACUUCUAUGGACAAGUGCAUCAUCCUACACUUCAGAAAAGGGAUGAAUUUUACAGUGAAAGGAUGUUAAGUGGUGAAAGAGAAAAGAAAAAAUGGAAUCUUAUUCAGCAAAAAGUACACUCACUGGCUAGAACGUCAACCACUGCUGUGAAAGCUUCUGAAACUGCAUUCAAAAGAGUAAGACCAUUGCAAUACACAGUCUAACGCAGCUGAAACUUAUAAAAAUACAUGCUCAACGCAAAAGACAGGAUCACAAGGAAAACAGUGGAGAAAUGAGACAUCGGAGGUUUUGCUGAACUUAUUCUGAAAACGGUUCCAAUACCAGCAAAAUGUUUCUGUCUGCGAUCAAGAAACCCAUUUGCUACAGCCUCAAACAACAGGGUCGUGCUUACCGGAGAAACAAGACAGCCCUUUUCAGUCUACUUCCUUUCUCUGAAAUGUUACUUACCAACUGUGUUUGGACCUUGAAGUACAAAGGAGUGUGCAACAUGAACUGAAGAAAAGCUGGUAACCAGAAGAGAAG